rnacentral:rRNA from 1 species
GCCUAACACAUGCAAGUCGAACGAGAAAGUGGAGCAAUCCAUGAGUACAGUGGCGUACGGGUGAGUAACACGUGGGUAAUCUACCCUUUGGUGGGGAAUAACUCUGGGAAACCGGAGCUAAUACCGCAUAAUCCCGAGAGGGAAAAGCAGCAAUGCGCCGAAGGAGGAGCCCGCGGCCGAUUAGCCAGUUGGUAGGGUAAUGGCCUACCAAAGCAAAGAUCGGUAGCCGGCCUGAGAGGGCACACGGCCACACUGGCACUGAAACACGGGCCAGACUCCUACGGGAGGCAGCAGUGGGGAAUCUUGCACAAUGGGGGAAACCCUGAUGCAGCGACGCCGCGUGAGCGAUGAAGCCCUUCGGGGUGUAAAGCUCUUUCGGCAGGGAAGAUUAUGACGGUGCCUGCAGAAGCAGCUGCGGCUAACUACGUGCCAGCAGCCGCGGUAAUACGUAGGCAGCAAGCGUUGUUCGGAGUUACUGGGCGUAAAGGGUGUGUAGGCGGCUUUUUAAGUUUGGUGUGAAAUCUCCCGGCUCAACCGGGAGGGUGCGCCGAAUACUGA